UGGGAAGCAGAGACACAAACUGGGCUGAAAUCCUACUCUAAUUGUCACUAUAUCUCCCUAGAAUAAAUUGCUUUUUGAUAACCAAGACUGUGAAAUUGCGAUGGACAGACAUGAAGCAGGCCAUU
ensembl:scaRNA